AUAGCCACAGAGAAGCUUUCAGUCCUGCAUGUUGGUCUCUGCUCUUGGCAACACUGCAGCAUCACAGCUUGCAGUACUAUGAAUCAUAGCUUUGCCUUUUCAUUUUAUUCUUUAUUUAGUACUGUAAUUAUCUAAGUGAGCUUUGAAAUUAUGAGUCGAAGCUCCAGACUAGUCUCUGACUCUGCCAUUCCUGUCUGAAUAUUGUUCAAUACUUUAUAUUUAUUAAAAAGAGAAAAGAGUAAUUUUUAAGAUAAAGUUCACCUUCUCACCACCUGCCCUUCCCCCUUAUUCUCUCCCAAGGAAUCACCACUGUCCUGAAAUUAGAGCAGUUUUCUUCUUUGUAUGUAUUAAUUACUUACAUGUGUCAGUGCCCACCGCCAUGACCACCAGGAACCUGCUUGUAUUUGAAUAAGUUGGGUAUAUUUCAGUGACGGAGAAUCACAUCAUAGGGAAAUGUGUGGCAUCUCAGAAUGUGUUAGAAAGGACUUAGAGAUUUGGACUUGCAUUAGGUGAUUUGGGGUAGGAUUUAAGGAAGAGGGGCUUUGCUCUGAGUUGUUUAAUAUUAGGAAACAGGAAUAAUUCUGUUAUUGAGUAUCUUAAUAAAUCUGACCAGAAAGGAGGGAAGAAUAGGAUAAAACUAAAGCUGUAAUUGGGAAGCCACUGUGUUAGCCAGAAUAGGGAAUGUUUGGUCAGUAUUCCUGGUUUGUCUUUGUUCAAUAUGAGUUCAUAGUGGUCUUGCUUUUUAAUUGUGAUCCAUAAUGGUCGGGGUGUGGCCUUAUCUGAUGUUGAUGUUCUGUGAAAUUAUGUUCAAUAGAAGAAAUAAAGGUCAUGUGAUAUGAAAUUCAAAGAGGUAAGUACCAGGCCAGUUCUUUGUUUAUAAUACCAGGUCCACUCACAGAUGUCAAGGGCUGCUUUUUUCUGGUAUCUAUAUACAUAUAAGUAUAUACAUAAUUUACGAUAUUAUAAUUUUGUUAUUUUUUCUUUAAAUCUUACACAGAUGACAUCAUACUGUGUGCACGAUCCUUAGGAAUUUGUUUCUUAAGCUUCUCAUUCUUGAUGCAUCCAGUUCCCUGCCUAUAACUGGGUGUACAGUAGUAUCCCACUGUAUGAAGAAGCCACAUGGAAUCAUAUUAGGUGGACAGUCAGUUUAAUGAUAUGGGUUUGCUGUUAUAAUUCUUACAGUAGUGCUAUCAAAACAUACAUAUAAAUAUCUUUUCAUGCUUAUGAGUUUCUCUAAGGUAUUUAUUCUAAAACAAGAUCAUCAUUUCAGAUGUGCUAGGUAUUGUCAAAUUGGUCUCCGAAAAUUUGUAUACAUUUGUAUUUUGUCCUGUUGUAUGAGUUUUUGUUUCCAAACAUCUUUCAAUAGCUCUUGUUGGCAAACUUAAAGUUUUCCCAUCUUCUGGAUGUGUAAUAGAAUUUCAUUUUAACAUGCUUUUCUUUAAUUAUUAAUGAGCCCGCAUAUUUUCUGUCCUUUUUGGACAUUUGGUUUUCCAUUUUUGUGUAUGACUUAUUAAUAUGAUUUAGUCAUUUUCCCAUUGAAUUUAGGUCUUUCAUUUAUUGAUUUGUAAUAUUUUUACAUAUUUUGGACACUAAUCAUUUGUACAGUGACUUAUCUUUUCCCUUUUUUUUUUUUUUUUUUUUUUGCUUUUCUAGGGAACCUCCAUGUGCCACGGGUGCUGCCCUUAAAAAAAAAAAAAAAAUUGAGACUUUUUAUUACGUAACAUGGUAUAAUACCUCUGUGUAUAUUUCAGUAAGAUUUUUCUCAUGUUAAACCAUACUUGUAUUCAGAUGUUAAGAUAUCUUUGAACUCUUCUUGGUUAUUAUGUUAUUAUUUUCACAUUUUCAAUUAGAUUUUUUUUGAGUUUUUGUUCAUAAAUAAAAUCCAUCUUAAAUUUUCCUUUUUGAUGAUGUCCUUAUCUAUUAUUGGCAUCCAGAUUUAUCUGGUAUCAUCACAUUUAAUUGCAAAGUUUGUUCUUUUUCUAUUCUGCCAAACAAUUUGUUUAAAAUAGGAACUACCUUUCCAUAAAGUUUUUGGGACUUUAUUUAAUACUGUCUGUCCCUCACACUUAUUCAGUAGGUAGAUUUUUUUAAUUACUGAUGCAUUAUAUAAGUUAUUAUAUAUUCAAGUUUGCUAUUUCCUUUGAAACAUCUAAAAUGUCCAUUUCGUCAAUAUUUUGAAUAUACCAAUUGUUUCUAAUGUUUCCUUGUUUGUUUGAAAAGUCUUAUCACAGUUAUAUUCCAUUCCAUUUAAAACUGUUUCUGCCUUUUCUCUUUUGUUCUUUGUAAAACUCACCAGUGGUUUGUCAGUUGUAUUAGAGUCCUCAUUAAGUAUGAGCUCUUCAGUGUCUGGUCUCCAUCACCUAACGUCCUUGUGAGACUCUUACAGUUUGUUGUGUGUAGUAGUAGUUCACUCAUUCUCAUUGCUGUAAAGUAUUUCAUUGUGUCAUUUUACCACAAUUUUUUCUGAUAUUUAAUAGAUAUUUGGUUUUUUUUCAGGCUUUGAAUACUAUGAAAAGGACUACCUUGAAUUUGAAUACUUUUUAUGUAUCUGUUGCUGUGCAUACACAUAUACAUUUCUGAAAGGUACAUUCCUGAGGAGUUAUAUUGCUGAGUCAGAUUUUAAGUAUUUUCAGAUUUAGUGCUUAUUGUCAAAGAGUUUCUAAUUUACACUGUUUCCAACACUGUAUAAGACUUCCAGUUGCUCAGUAUUCUCACCAGCACUUAGUUUUGCCUCUUUCAUGUUACCAUUUUGUCUCAAAGGAUUUCCAAAUUUGCAAACACAUUUGAAUGCAAAAGUAGAUAUUUUUGAGUAUUGAUAUGUCAAAAGAAUCACUUGAUAUGAAAAAAAAAUCUCUAACAACAAAUGGUGCAUCGGGUAUAUUAGGUCAGAUAUCAGAUUUAUUGGAAUUUUUAAGUGAGAGACUAACCUUUGCCAUGCUGUUUUUUUUUUUUUUUCCUCCUAUUUCUUGGUACAUUUUGAAAAUAUCUGUGCUCAGUUUCCUAAAGCAGACUCUAUGAAAGAAUCAUGGAUAUGGUUGUUUAAAUGGUUCAAAAUAUAUGUGUAAAUAAUCUGAAUCAUCACAAGUACAUGGAAUUGUUAAGAAGCAAAAGACAAUGAAUUCAAUAAUCUUGUGUUCUUUGCCAACACUUGCUGGUUGAGUCAUGGAGGAAGAGCUUUACAAAAUCUGCAGUUCUGUUAACUCCAUUCAAGAUUUCUUGAAAUGAAAGCAAUGCUUGCCAAAUACUCAAUAAUCUGGGACAAAAAUGGCAAUGUGAUUUACAUUUUCUCAUCAAUAUCACAUUGCAUACACGUUAAGCUAAAUUUGAGGCUCUAAAGAAGGGAGGAGCUCAUUUUUAAUGUAGCUAGAUAGCAAUGAAAAUUUAUUUUGAAAUAGGAACUCUUCAUAAUACAGAUCAAUAAUGAUUUUAUGCAACUUUCUAAUAGGAAUCAAUGUGUAGAACAUUUUAAUUAUUAUCAACAGGAUUAUAUGAAUUUGCUAUAAAGCCAGCAAGAAAAAUUUGAGCAGUACUUUUUUGCUAUUUAUAAAGUUAGAGUUGCUUUUCAAUUCAUACGCUAUCUCUGAAUUUGGUGUUAAUGCUGAAUUGACAUGAAAGUUGCUUAAUUUACUUAUUUUGGUCAUACGUACUUUUGAAGUGUUGUUUGGAAAUCGAUAAGCUCUUGCUUUGCAGCCAAAUCUAUUAUUCUAACAAAAAUGAACAAGUUUUAUUAAUAUUAUUAUAGAAUCAAAGGAAAAUGAUUUCUUGAUACCCACUUCAGUUAUUAGGAAACUUUUAAGUGUCUUUGGAAUAACUUGGAAAUGUGAUUCUACUUUUCUUUCUGUAAAUUCUUUGACAUAUAAACACAGAUCAACUAUAUCUGAUAAAAAUGUAGCAUCUAUAUUAAGAUGUGCAACAAGUAUAAAAAUACAUAGUGGAUUAUGAAGACUUAGUAAAAAAAUGUGAACUAUCUUCUUAAUGAUUUUUCUAUUGAUUAGAUUUGCAUUGAUAAUUUUUGGAUCUUUUGGAUAUCUGGUUGAAUAAAAUAUGUUAUUAAAAUUAAUUGCCUCUUGGUUGUUUCCAUUGUGGCUUAGUGGGUUAAGUACCCAGCAUAGUGUCCAUGAGGUUAUGGGUUUAAUCCCUGGCCUCGCUCGAUGGGUUAAGGAUCUGGAGGAUCUGGUGUUGGUGCAACCUGUAGUAUAGAUCAUAGAUUCAGCUUGGAUCCAGCAUUGCUGUGACUGUGGUGUAGGUCUGCAGCUGCAGCUUCCGUUCGACCCCUAGACUGGGAACUUCCAUAUGCUGCAGGUGUGGC
rnacentral:lncRNA from 1 species